UGUAACGCAAACUCCGCUAUCCGGAGCUUGUAGACUCCUCCCCGCGGAGUUUGUGCGCCGCUUGCCAUAAGCCGGGGGAACCGUUGUGGAAUGUUUCAACACCAAUGGUGGGCCUGGAUUCUAGUCGAGCCCCUAUUACCAUGGAAACUAGCUUGUUAACGCUGUCACCGCUGGCGCCACGGGCCAGACAGGGGGGCGGUGAUAGCCCGGGUGCGAAAUGUGAUCAUCCCGCCCACUCCCCGCAUGUUUGUUUACUCAUUUCGAGGAAAAAUGGCGGCUCGCCCCAUAUGGGCUUCGGCUUUCGGCUUCGACUUUCGGCUCCUCCUAGGCUCCUCCUGAGUCCGUUUGUGCGGAUUUUGGACGGCGCUGGCCUCUCCACUUCAGGAGAAGGCGGUAGUAUAUUUUGUCCUGGGGAGAAAGGACGUUUUUGCCUGCUUGCCCACUGGAUACGGCAAGACAGAACCUUACGUAACUUGGUCCCUCUUGUCAAUGUCUUGGGGAAACCCUGCGUCACGCUUCGCCGUUGCUGUUGCUGUUUCAAGGUCAAGUACAACUUAGGCGAGAAAGACGCUGAUGUCAAGCGAGGAGAGUGGAAAUACAGCCUGGUUUUCACAUCGUCAGGGCAAGGACAUUCUGUCCUUGGUCAGAGGCAAUUUCUGAAUUCGAAAAUUAUCUUGGCGAGAGCUGACAAACGGGGCGUGGUUGGUGUUGCCGUGGACGAACAGCACUGCAUAAUGUCUUGGGGCGGAGGGUUCAGAACCGGGGUCAAGACUCUCACACAGCUACUGAGGAGAUAAGGAUAGACAUCCUGUCAUCACUGUGUUAUGGAUUCCAACACAAUUACUGUUUCAGAGUCAUCCAAUCGGCCUAAUUGUACCUUCAAGUUAUGACAUUGAAAAGGAGUUCGGAUAGAUGCUUGUAGCAGAAAAAAAAUUGUCAAAAUAUUUCAGAGGGUCUGUCACAAGAAGAGACUUGUUGUGACUUAAGUGGAGAUUCUUCAACAUUACCUUAGAAUGAAUCACUGGACCAAGUCUCUUACAUCAGAACUCUAAGACGAACUAUUACAAUUUAUAGCAAUUCGUCGUCUACAAAUCAGCUAUAUAUCAUGUUAAGAGAACCACUACAAACAGUGAUGAGAUUUCUUGGAGGAGAUGCAUCCCAUUAUGUACAACUUUAAUGUAGUUACUCAGGAUUUUGGUCUGGCUACAACUGAAAGAAUUGUUGAUUCUUGUGCUACCUUCGCCUUCCUAACAAGAGAAGACAUUAUGACAGACAUUGGGUUGUGGAAUGAAGUAGUCAAUAUGGUCUUCACAAACAUUUCAGGACUGUAUAGAGGAAUGCAUAUUUGUAUACAGAUCAAACUGCCUUACAGACCAUAAUAUAUUCUGCUGAUGCCUCCCUAAGCACUGAGUUACAAACUUAUAUACAAAAUUUAUGAGUACACACAAUGCGUGUAUACAAACCAGACUAUCUUGCAGACUAUGAUUAUACAUGUAUUCAGAUAAUACUUGCCUAAGCACUGAGUUACAAACUUAUAUACAAAAUGUAUGAGUACACACGUGUGUAUACAAACCAGACUAUCUUGCAGACUAUGAUUAUACAUGUAUUCAGAUAAUACUUGCCUAAGCACUGAGUUACAAACUUAUAUACAAAAUGUAUGAGUACACACAAUGCGUGUAUAAAAACCAGACUAUCUUGCAGACUAUGAUUAUAUUCAGAUAAUACUUGCCUAAGCACUGAGUUACAAACUUAUUUACAAAAUGUAUGAGUACACACAAUGCGUGUAUACAAACCAGACUAUGUUGCAGAUAUCAUAUUCAAUUAAUGCUUGACUAUGACUAAGUACUGAGUUACGGUCGGUAUGCAGUAUACAUAAUGUAUGUGUGCAUACUAACCAAGCUAUUAUACAGACUGUAGUGUAUAUGAUAGAAAUGCAUGGCAAAUAAACAUCUGCUUUGA